rnacentral:rRNA from 1 species
GAUGAACGCUGGCGGCGUGCCUAAUACAUGCAAGUCGAACGAGGUGCUUUUGUAGCAAUACGAGAGUAUCCUAGUGGCGAACGGGUGAGUAACGCGUGGGUGACCUGCCCCAAAGUGUGGGAUAACAGUCCGAAAGGAUUGCUAAUACCUCAUGUGGUUAUCGGGUUUAGAAACCGAUAACUAAAGCAGCAAUGCGCUUUGGGAGGGGCCUGCGUCCCAUCAGCUAGUUGGUAGGGUAACGGCCUACCAAGGCGACGACGGGUAGGGGACCUGAGAGGGUGGCCCCCCACAAUGGAACUGAAACACGGUCCAUACACCUACGGGUGGCAGCAGUAGGGAAUAUUGCUCGAUGGGCGAAAGCCUGAAGCAGCAACGCCGCGUGUGCGAUGAAGGCCUUCGGGUCGUAAAGCACUUUUCUAAGAGAUGAGAAAGGACAGUAUCUUAGGAAUAAGUCUCGGCUAACUACGUGCCAGCCGCCGCCGUAAUAC